UCUGUGUCUGGCUCCUCCCCCAAUUCUAACCAUGGAGGGUUCAGAAAGGGAAAGUCAGAGAGAAGACUAAACACAGGAUGGAAGACAGCCAUAUCCGUCUGCCUUCUUCAGGCUUUCCAUGGCAACCCGCCUAACCAAGGAAGUGGAAAAGGCCAUCUGAGAUCAAAAUCACAGUUCCCAUUACGAUAAGGAACCGGGAAGGACUCCUGGGUGAAUCGCCAUGCCUGAUUCGGUUGAUUUCAAAGCCAACUUUAGACGAUGCAAAACAUUGCCUUUAUGUCAAGUACCCAAGAAUAAAAGUUGUGGAAGAGACUCAGUUCAAGGAUGGCUCUCCCAGAUAAAGCUGAGAGCAGCCUUCCUGGGCGGAUGUGAGACACAGACAUGAGAGGCUAGCUACACGGCCUCCUGGCAUGAUUCCAUCAUGAGUCUAUCAGCACUGACAGGAGUUGGCUUUGCCUUCCUCCCAAGGCCUGAUUCUCUAAGAGUCUAUGAUGAAUUUAUAGAAACAGCUAUGACAGAAGUGACAGUGGGGUGAAAGUGUGGCUCAUUCUUUUAUUUAAACAGCAGUGGACCACAAUCUGUUGCCAACAGAGAGGAAGGAUUUGAAAACACUGUGAACUGCAAACUGCUUGCCCUGGGAUGUAGGACUGAGCACUUGACCCCCAUCAUGACAUUUUACAGCAGCACAAAAGCCACUCUAAGGUUGGCCUGUAUUUCCCAGUAUCCACUACAUCACCAGUGAAGUAGGUUAGUCAACUGAAUGGGCUCUGGAGCUAUCCUGAAUUCAGAUCCUUUCUCCAAAAUCUACUUGCUUUGAGUAAGUUAUGACAAGUGAUGAAUUAUAUUCUUCAGUUUGUACUGAGUCUUCCCAGUGGGAGACUCAUCUAUCUUCUUCAUGUCAGAAUGGCCAGAAAUUUGCUUUGGGCAGUGAAUUUCAGAGGAAGUAGUUAGCACACUUUUUAAUUUGUUUAUCAAAGUUCCAUUUGUUCUACUUAAAGUAGUUAUGUAUCUACCAAGUCAAAGCAAGUCCAGAAAUAAGGACAGCCUUUUCAAUAUGGGUUCCAGAAAAAAGAACCAAUACAAAUUCAA
rnacentral:sRNA from 1 species